AUGAACGCUAGCGACAGGCCUAACACAUGCAAGGUCAGGGGCAGCACAAGGAGCAAUCUGAGGUGGCGACCGGCGCACGGGUGAGUAACACGUAUGCAACCUGCCUGUAAGCGGGGAAUAACCCGUUGAAAGACGGACUAAUACCGCAUAAUACUAAAUUACUGCAUGGUAAUUAUUUAAACAUUUAUGGCUUACAGAUGGGCAUGCGCAUGAUUAGCUAGUUGGAGAGGUAACGGCUCCCCAAGGCAACGAUCAUUAGGGGUUCUGAGAGGAAGGUCCCCCACACUGGUACUGAGACACGGACCAGACUCCUACGGGAGGCAGCAGUGAGGAAUAUUGGUCAAUGGACGAGAGUCUGAACCAGCCAAGUCGCGUGCAGGAAGAAUGUCCUAUGGAUUGUAAACUGCUUUUGCAGGGGAAUAAAGUGCAUCACGUGUGAUGUUUUGUAUGUACUCUGCGGAUAAGGAUCGGCUAACUCCGUGCCAGCAGCAGC
rnacentral:rRNA from 1 species